GGCUGUGCUCCCUGCAGGAAUGCUUGCAGGGCUCCUGGCCUGGGACCAGCAGCUCUCCUGCUCCAUCCCAAAAGCAGCUGCUCUCAGGAAGGAGCUGAUAAUGGCUGUUUUUCAUUAAGGCUUCAAACACAGCAUGCAACCAUUCCCUAACCAAUCCUUGAAACCUGAAUAAAAAGCAACAAGAAAAGGACCCUUCCAUUACAGGUUUGCCAGAAAUGAGGUACACACACCUGUCAGAGUGAUGCCAAGGAAUUUUAUGGAGAUACCAUCUUGAGGGGGAUUGCAGGAGAACCAGGGCAUCAGGCCCAGCCAGCACAGGGUGUGAAGGGCAGGUCCUGCCUGACCAGCCUGAUCUCCUGAGACCUGCC